rnacentral:lncRNA from 1 species
CCAGGCGCUAUUGUGCGUCUAUUUUUAGCCGCGUGUCCUUGGGACCACGGAGAACGCAUCUGUGGUAUUUCACGGCCUCUUUCUGGGCCCUGCUGCCAGGGAGGUGACCUCAUUUUCACUCAGUCGGUAAUUGACUGCAGAGCCGUCUUGGGCUUCUCUAGGACCGGCGUGGAUUCUUCUCUCCUGCGCGCUCCCAACGCCCUGGCUUCUUGGCCCCCUCCAGGGAAUCGGUCCUGGCUGGGCACGCUCCCGUACAUUUCUGCAUGGCCGCAAAGAGCAGCCCCUAGAGCAGCGCACCCCAACCGCAGCGGGGCCUGCCCCAGGUGCUGCUCAGUGACCCCGGUGCUGCUCAGCACAGGGCCAGGGUGCAGCCCUGGUGGGACCCUGUGACUCUGUGAAACGUGGACGUCGGCUCCUGGCUCCUGAGUGUGGUGGACGGGAUGUGGCCAGGCUGCUGCAUUUCCUGCCCGAGCCCGGUUCUGCUCAUGGCCGGGGAGAGGAGCCGUGAUGACCGUCAGACGGCGCGGUCUCCGGGGCAGGAGCCUCGGCGCUGGCCUGGGAUGGAGUCCGGAGGAGGAAGACCCUCGUUUCACAGCGAUCGCUCACGUCCUGGGGAGUUUCCACCGUGUGAGUCCCCUGCUCCUCCCUUCCCUCUCCCCCCUCCACCUCCCGGUCCCCUUAACCUAUGCAUUACACACAGCAGGAAAUGCACACGUGUGACUAUAAGUUAUUUAAUAAAGAAGGGGAGCAGUUACGAUGACCGUGAAACUGUGGCGGGGCGGUGACAGUGCUCCGCAUUCCUGGCGACUGGAUCUGCACUCGCCUUGCAGACAGACGGGGACGGGUCCUGCCUGCCUCUGGUGCCCAGCGUGGGGCUGGGGGCAGUGGCUCUAGGUCUGGGGCAGGUCCCUGGCCCCGUGAAGCCCUGGGGCCCUGGGAAGCCGUGGACCACCCCAGCCGCCCUGCUCACAGCUGGAAGGUCAGUCCCGGUCGCAGCGCGGUGACUGGGGCUCUCCGACUGUGACGUCUGCAGAAGCCCCGGGCCUGCCAUCCGGCUGCACACUUGGUAUUUGGGAUACACCAUGCAGAAGGUUUGGCCAAUCAAGAGGAGCUGAGGAUCACUUGAGAACUAUUUUUAAAGAUUGCUAAUUGCCCCGGAAAAUUCUUGUGUGAAAGACGGCCCGUGCAUGGGAUCCGCAGUGUCUGGCUCCUUCGCACGGCUAACAGGCGAUCCUUGUUUUUCUGCCCUGCUGCGUGAGGAGCGGAGCCCCCGAUGCCCCGGGCCGCAUCUACAUCACGAGGUCCAGAAAUGUGGCAGCUCUGUCACUUCUUGCACUCAUUUCCACGAGUUCGGUCGGUCACCCCGAACCCGCCUCCCUCCUGGAUGCCUGAGGAGAGAUGACGCCCUCGGACGUGUCCUGGAGACGCUGCUCUGUCCUGACCGUUGUCCAGCUGCCCGUGCUGGCGAGCCCGGGGCUUGGCUGAGCCGAGGGGGACCAAAGGAGCACAACCGUGCACAGCACUAAUUCCCUCGCCCAGUGUGACCGCGGGGGUGCUGUCCAGGGUUCAGGCGAGAGUCCUGGACCAGGAGGCCACAUCCAGGUCCUGGUCCCUGCUCUGCCACUGGCGACUGAGGUGUGCGCAAGUUUCUUAGCUCAUCUGGGCCUCGGUUUCCCCAGCCCCCAAAUGAAACCCUUGAACCCGAUGGCCUCCCGGUCUGGGUGGUAGAGCGCCCUGUCCCCACUUGGUUACUGGCCUUCUGAGAGGGCUGUGCAGCCCUGCACACGGCCUGGUGGCUUUCUAGGCUCCCAGGAGCAGGCGUGGCCUUGCUUGGGCUUGCCUUGGUGGACGUGGCCGGGGCCUCCAGAGCCGUCCUGUGGUCCAGACGCUGCUCUGUUCCUCCUGCCUCAGGGCUGAGAUAGGAGCCGUCGCCAGCCCGGGUGCUGGAAGGUGCCGGAGGUCGCCCUAAGGGUGACACCGCUGUCCUCUGGUCCCUGCAGAGCUUCAUCUGCGUUAGAGGACGGGGCAGCCUGGGUCUCUGCGCUGCGACUUUCACCCUCUUCUCAAAGCUGCGCUGAGAGAUUGGGGCGCCUCAGGCAGCGCCAGCUCAUUGCCAGUCGGUUACUUAGAGGGGCUUUGAGGUGGAGGAGGCUGGGGAGACCAGUCCGCUGCCCAGCUCCGUCAGCAUCAACCCCAGUGUCACCCAGUAAGAUGCCCACACUCUUCCAGGGCAAGCGCUGCCCCAGGACCGCUUUCCUCUCUGGGGAUCCCGGGGCCCUGGGGGUGCAGGUGUUCUGCAGCGUCCUGCUUCUGAGGCCGCGUCUGCAUCCCUAGCAUUCACAGAGGCUUCGCUUUGAGACCAAUGAGCCCCCCUUGCCCGCCUGGAUGACGUGGGGGGCUUGUGGUGGGGGAGCAAAGUAGGCGGCUGUCGCAGAGAUCAGCUCUUCUGAUCUGGGGGUCACCGGAGCCCCCCGAUCUGUGCACCGGUUCUCUUCUGGUGACCCAUAAAUCCUCGGAGGACAGAGCUCAGGCCACACCUUAGAUGCCCAAUGUUUUCCAGAAGAAAAGCUGCUUGUGGGGAGCCGCAGGAAGGUG